rnacentral:rRNA from 1 species
GACGAACGCUGGCGGCGUGCUUAACACAUGCAAGUCGAACGCUGAAGCUCAGCUUGCUGGGUGGAUGAGUGGCGAACGGGUGAGUAACACGUGAGUAACCUGCCCUCUUCUUUGGGAUAACGCCCGGAAACGGGUGCUAAUACUGGAUAUUCACUGAUUCUCGCAUGGGGGUUGGUGGAAAGGUUUUUUCUGGUGGGGGAUGGGCUCGCGGCCUAUCAGCUUGUUGGUGGGGUGAUGGCCUACCAAGGCUUUGACGGGUAGCCGGCCUGAGAGGGUGACCGGUCACAUUGGGACUGAGAUACGGCCCAGACGCCUACGGGAGGCAGCAGUGGGGAAGAUUGCACAAUGGGCGAAAGCCUGAUGCAGCGACGCCGCGUGAGGGAUGGAGGCCUUCGGGUUGUAAACCUCUUUCGCUCAUGGUCAAGCCGCAGCUUUGGGUUGUGGUGAGGGUAGUGGGUAAAGAAGCGCCGGCUAACUACGUG